rnacentral:lncRNA from 1 species
UGGGACGCCAUGUACAUACCGCUUACAUCACCAAGACUAAAUUGCUGCCUGCAAAAAAUACAUCUGGGUACUUCGCCAGUGCUAUUCUGGAGUACCUGAACAAACACAACUGCACGGUAUGUAAUGAAACACAUACAUUGCUUUGACAGUGUGGUUAUGGUGCAUUACAUUUAGAGAUUAUUCUCGCCUUCUCCAUAAUGCCUUGUGACAAAUGAAAUGCUGGUGUACGAGUUUAAUACUGUUAAACCUAGCCUGCGGUUUACUUUACGACUUUACACAAUUGUUGAUCAGAAUUUAACAAAGUGUGAAAGUUUGAGGAUUGUUUUUGCAAUAUUUUCCUUCUGGUUGUUUCAAUGGCAGAGUGUGUGAUUGAGAAAAUCAUUGGUGCUUUUAUACAGGCUGCAGGAACUUUCUCCGAGGUAUUGUAAGGACUUGCAGGAUAUCACUUCAUUGCAAAUGAAAGGAACAGUGUCCAAAAGGGCCUUUGGUAUCGUUUCCUCAAAACAGGUUUCUAUUCUUGGUGUGGCACUCUCUUAAAAUUAAAAAACGGAAGUGUAGUUCAUCAUGGAGACGUUCACAUUCGAGAGGAAUCAGAGAGGUGCUGGUGCUUCUAGCAGAUGUAACAAGAUAAAGUGGUUCUGAUAAGGGCAGCUCUGUUAAAUAUUUGAAGUAGUUUUUUUCUGUGUUUGAGUUAAAGGUUCAAAUUUUUAGCUCAAUUUUCUCCCAACAAUUGUUUUUAGAUUUUUUUCCACAAGUUUGAAAAGGUAAAACUUACUGAAAUUGGAUUUUCUUGGUUUUUAAACCAAAUAUCUGUCUGCGAUUCUACAACAGAGUUUGAUAAUCCGUCUAGUUUUGGAAAUGUCAGUGUUUAGAGAGUUAAAACAAAAUGAAGGUGAACUUGUUCAUUUAUUUGGACCCUGAACUUAGUUAAUAAAAUCAGUUCAUUUUGAUCUGAGUGAGCUGAACUUUGAGCCAGCUCGUUUCAAAAGCUACUGUGAGAAACUGUUUUUCUUUUUUUCAAUAUUAUUUUUACUCGUUUUCAACCUAAAAUUUGAAAGUAGCUUUUCUGAUACUGAAUCACAUCUUUCUGUCCUUCAACAUUCACACACAUCACUCACUAAAUCUUUAGAAGGACAAUUCGUGUGCAGCCUUCGGGUGACCUCUUUGGCUGACACCUACCCCACAAAGCAGUGAUUACAAGACUAGAUACAACAACUUCGAAAUAACUGAUCUCAAUGCUGUUGCUUUUGUGUCACACGAAGACACCAGUGGUAUUUACUCUAGUCUAUUUCAUAACUCCUCAAGAAGUUUUCAGUGUCAACUUGCACUCCUUAGAGAUGGUCCCAGAACUAAAGUUGAAUUCUUCUGGUGGAUGUGUCUCUAUUGAGGUCUGGGUAUUGUUGUCACACACUUCUAUCCAUGAAAAGACAGACAGGAGAAUUAUUGCAUUUUUCUACAAUUUCAGCAGUAGUUUGAGCAAUUUUGGCAUUUUUUUUUUCUCCAUCAUAUUUCAGAUCCUCACUUAUUUUUUGUAACAGAGCUGACAAAACUGACUGUGUGUGCGUAGUUGUGUGUUUAUCACUUCAAGAGUAAAUUACAUUUCAGACUGAAGCUUUCCAUGCAGAUGAAGUAAAACAACCUUUCCAUUUAGGUUUCUUUUAGUUUUAUUAAAAAAACAACAACAACAGUGAAAAAUCAAUCCCUCUGCUCUUUUUCUAACUUGGCUUGUCUGCGUAUCUGCACUGCAUAUCAAGUCUGCCAGCUUAGAGCAAACCUGCUGGGCAGAAGUACCAGUUUGAAUCAUGGUAUCAUCAUCCCUCAGUAUUAACAUGUUCCCUUGGCUGUGUUUGUAACAGGUGUGACAGUAACCGAUAAUUCAUGCUGACCCCUGCAUGGCACAGCCAGCUGAAUCAGGUCUCUCUCUCUCUCUCUCUUUGCUACCACAGUGUAGUGUCUGUUAUUACAGUCACCCUGCAAUCCAGCAACAUCAAUUAUGCCAAUAAGACGCCUCCUCUGCCAACAUUUCACAUACAUUAUGGAGUGUUGACACAUCACUUUUCACCCUAUUGUGGAUGAGGCGUGAGGUGAGCGUCUCACCACACACAGAGAAAAUAAGGAUGUAAAAUAAACCACAUGCAGAGCAAAAAGAGAGCUCAGGGAUCAGUUGCUGAUAAUGACACUUUGGUCUGCUUAUUUUCUUUCUUCUGUAUUGUGCUAACAUGUUUUUAGUACAAGGUCAUUUAAAGAAGAGAACCUGUUAGUGAAGCAGAGAGCUGCAAACAGUCUCAGGCCCCUGUCACCCAUGAGCUCCUCACAGUUUCCAAACAGUUUAUACACAAUCAGGUCCAGAAGUUUUUUGGAAACUGUUUCUCGUAUAUGUACCUCGAUUAAAGACAUUAUCUGUUCCCCACUAUUUGGCAAUACACGUCAAUUAAGAGUAUAAAGUGGAGCAACUCCGCUUAAUUUGAUGUGGUGAAUUUUCCAGACUAUUACCAGCAGUUCCAAGACAUUAGCUCACCCUGACUUAGGGUGAACUUUGUACAAGGAUGCUGGCAGGAAAGAGCCAGCCUGAAGUGGAGGUGAGCAGAUGGGUCCAUUUACAGUCACAUAUUCAGCCAAUACUGAGGCAUUUUCGGGGUGUUAUACAUGUGUGCAAGGGGCUUAAAAACUGCUAAAUCUUCAAUAUGGGACGAACCCCCGAGGUCCUAUCUCACUUUGAACAAUCAAAUUACCACAUCAACCCAAGUUUCCUUGAAAUACAUCUCAAAAAGUGGGAUCAUCUUGUAUUAAGGGUUUUAAUUGUCAAUUAUCAUUACAACAGACGGUGCCACUUAUCCCCUCAUGAGUAGAGCCGGCUCUCACUCACUGCUACGAUGCCAGAGGGAUGAAAGAUGGUGAACAAAGGUGAUCUAAAAGAAGGAAAAGUUCACCAAAAACUGAGACGGAGUUGUUUUUUUCUUUUUUAGGAACAUGGAUAUCAGAGCUGCAGAGACAUAAACAACCAUCAAAAGGCCAAGAAGCAUGAUGUCACAGGGUGUAAUGUUCGAAGACGGUGAACCAUGAA